rnacentral:rRNA from 1 species
GGGUCAGUAGGUUGGUCGUGCCACCGGUACGUACUGGUCUCACUAAUUCCUCCUUCCUGAAGAACCAUAAUGCCAUUAAUUUGGUGUUGCGGGGAAACAGGACUGUUACUUUGAAAAAAUUAGAGUGUUUAAAGCAAGCUAACGCUUGAAUACAUUAGCAUGGAAUAAUGAAAUAGGACGAUCGAUCCUAUUUUGUUGGUUUCUAGGAUUGACGUA